GCAAGUCGAACGGUAACAUUUCUAGCUUGCUAGAAGAUGACGAGUGGCGGACGGGUGAGUAAUGCUUGGGAACUUGCCUUUGCGAGGGGGAUAACAGUUGGAAACGACUGCUAAUACCGCAUAAUGUCUUAGGGCCAAACGGGGCUUAGGCUCCGGCGCAAAGAGAGGCCCAAGUGAGAUUAGCUAGUUGGUAAGGUAACGGCUUACCAAGGCGACGAUCUCUAGCUGUUCUGAGAGGAAGAUCAGCCACACUGGGACUGAGACACGGCCCAGACUCCUACGGGAGGCAGCAGUGGGGAAUAUUGCACAAUGGGGAAACCCUGAUGCAGCCAUGCCGCGUGUGUGAAGAAGGCCUUCGGGUUGUAAAGCACUUUCAGUUGUGAGGAAAAGCUAGUAGUUAAUACCUGCUAGCCGUGACGUUAACAACAGAAGAAGCACCGGCUAACUCCGUGCCAGCAGCCGCGGUAAUACGGAGGGUGCGAGCGUUAAUCGGAAUUACUGGGCGUAAAGCGCACGCAGGCGGUUUGUUAAGCUAGAUGUGAAAGCCCCGGGCUCAACCUGGGAUGGUCAUUUAGAACUGGCAGACU
rnacentral:rRNA from 1 species